CGGACACGGGUGGCACUCGUUAACGAUUUAGACGUGAGCGAUGAACUUUGUGAUGCACUUAUGAGCCAGGAUAUUUUCAGUCCGCUUAUGAUUGAGUAUAUAAUGGCCCAACAUACACGCAUGGACAAGGUUCGUCGCCUCUUGGACGAUCUUUCCAGGAGAGGUUCCAAUGCUUACCAUGGCUUUCUUUGGGCUCUGAGGAACGCUGGGUACGAUUUCCUUGCAAGUAAAAUUGUAGAAAACGAGAAAAUUGUUCGCAGGGAAAUAGAAGAGAAAGAAAGGGAAAAGAGGAAAAAGAGUGAAGAAAGGGGGAGUCCCAUGCAGACAGCCACCAAUACAGUACCCUCGUCUCGGCCACUUGAAUCAGGAAAUGACAGUGCUGCUCAAUCUUCUACCAUUGAUAAUCAACAUCUGAAUCCGAAUUCCAAUUCUUUAGAAUCAUUUAGAGUUAACUUAACAUCCGACAGGUCGUCCGAAGACAUUCCCCAACAGUCCAAGUCAGAGGAGCCCGAUUUCAAGCCUCAACCUCAAGACGAGGUGACAGUUCAUGAAAUGGCUUCCAGUUCAACAAUAUCCCAAGAUGAUGACAUGAUUGAUUUAAACCUUAGCACCACCUCAAAUCAAACAGGCAUGGAUGUUGAUCAUUGACGAAGAUUUCAGAAAAUUUUUGGUUUACCGAUAGACUUUAGGACAUUCCAAAUAUAAAUUACCAUUGGAUUUCCAAAUGAGAAUCCGAAGAUUGGCAGCUUUGCACCAAGAAAUUUCCGAGUAUUUCGAGCCUGAAUCAUGUUUUCCUUCUGUUGAAUGGUCAGCAGUGGUGGCCUGUCGAUGGAUCACCCAGCAUGUUUCAACAGUGCUAUAUAUAUAGCUCUUUCGUCACUCUUAGUUUUACAAGAGUGGUAACUAAAUUGUUUAUUUACAAAAUUUAUAAGUAUACAAGAAAGAAUUAAACAGAAUUCUUAUAAAAAUUAUGCUGGCAUUUUUUUUUUGGCCCCUUACAUGCAUAUUGAAUUCAAGAUAAGAUAAAUAUGCAAGAAAAGUAAAUCAAAAUUCAAGAAAAUCAUGUUAACGUGUAGGUUUAUACAUGUAAUUGUGAUUAAUUGUAAAAAUCUAUAGACGUAUAUAUGUAAAUAAAAACAAGUUCUAGAAUAUAAACGGAUUUGACUUCUAUUACUAACAUAUAUACAAUUGCUAUGUAAAUGACAAAUAUUAUUGAAAAUUUUGCUUUCUGUUUUAUAUAACCAAAAAUUUGAAAUUUUCAUUAACAAAAUGGGGCUUUUGUUUAUUUCUGUCGUACUGGUUAAUUCUAGUACAUGUCCUAAUAUUUAUAUAUUAUUCCAGUUGAUGAACUUCCGCUUUGAGAUCUAUGAUAAAUGUACAACAUGUAAUAUCAUUUUAAAAAUAAAAUGUGUGAAU
rnacentral:misc_RNA from 1 species